rnacentral:tRNA from 1 species
GGCCGGUUAGCUCAGUGGUUUGAGCACAGUGCUGACAACACCGAGGUCGUGGGUUCGAUUCCUGCUCAGUCCC